GGGGGAGAAGAAAGAGAAAAAACUGGUUGGGGGAAGCAAUGGCGUGACUGGGGCGGAGUUGAACAUUAACAUUUGGCCCUUUUCGAGGAGUAGAUCCGCCGGAAACGGAGGAAGUAGGCCUCGGGUUACGGGUGGAUCCGGAUUGGCGACGCGAAAGGUCAGUAGUGCUCCGUGUUCCCGGAGCAACUCCGCCGGUGAAUCCAAGUCACGGAAAUGGCCCAGUAGUCCCAGUCGUGGUGGGGUUCAUUUGGGCCGGAGCAGCCCAGUUUGGCAGGUACGACGGAGCUCUAUCAACCCAGGAUCCGGUACCCGGAGCUCCGACAACCUCGUCAAAACUACUGAAAAAGCCAUCAGAAAAGAAGCCCCC
rnacentral:misc_RNA from 1 species